rnacentral:rRNA from 1 species
ACGAACGCUGGCGGCGUGCUUAACACAUGCCAGUCGAGCGGAAAGGCCCUUCGGGGUACUCGAGCGGCGAACGGGUGAGUAACACGUGAGUAACCUGCCCUAGGCUUUGGGAUAACCCCGGGAAACCGGGGCUAAUACCGGAUAUGACCUGGUGCCGCAUGGUGUUGGGUGGAAAGUUUUUUCGGCCUGGGAUGGGCUCGCGGCCUAUCAGCUUGUUGGUGGGGUGAUGGCCUACCAAGGCGAUGACGGGUAGCCGGCCUGAGAGGGCGACCGGCCACACUGGGACUGAGACACGGCCCAGACUCCUACGGGAGGCAGCAGUGGGGAAUAUUGCACAAUGGGCGGAAGCCUGAUGCAGCGACGCCGUGUGAGGGAUGAAGGCCUUCGGGUUGUAAACCUCUUUCAGCAGGGACGAAGCGUGAGUGACGGUACCUGCAGAAGAAGCGCCGGCCAACUACGUG